ACCGCAUUUGGCCGAAUGGUUAAGGCGCCUCCCUGCUAUCUCAUUGUAAGGAGGUUCCCUCUGGGAGCACAGGUUCAAAUCCUGUAGGCGUCG